UACAGAGGUCUCAAGCGUUGUUCGGAUUCAUUGGGCGUAAAGGGUGCGUAGGUGGCGCCGUAAGUCAGGUGUGAAAUUUCGGAGCUUAACUCCGAAACUGCAUUUGAUACUGCGGUGCUUGAGGACUGGAGAGGAGACUGGAAUUUACGGUGUAGCAGUGAAAUGCGUAGAGAUCGUAAGGAAGACCAGUGGCGAGGGCGGGUCUCUGGACAGUUCCUGACACUGAGGCACGAAGGCCAGGGGAGCAAACGGG
rnacentral:rRNA from 1 species